UAGUGGUGCCCUCAACAAGCGAUUGUUGAGUGAAAAUCGGGUGAACUCAGGGAACCUCCGCCAUAAAGGACAAUCCUGAGCCAAGCCGCUGACGCUUCAGCGGAAGGUGCAACGACUAGGUGGUUCAGACAGCGGUCUGUGUAAUACACCAUAAGCGCCCGACAACUCUAUGAGUUGAUGAUAUAGUCUGGCUCUCACAAAUGGUAAAUGUGAGAGGUGAGGUCACG
rnacentral:ncRNA from 1 species